GGGAGAAUCCAGUUCCAUACUGGGAUAAAACCAAGCCCGUUACCUUUAUUUUAUGUUUUUUAAAAAGUUGCCAUAGAGAGAAAGGAGGGAGGAGGAAGUUCAAGAUAUCAAGAAUAAAGACUUGAACCCAAAUCUUCCUUGUUCAGGAUGAGUGCCAAGGUCCACUGUAUUAUUGGCUUUUCUGGCAUAUCUUUUUCUAUAAACUUUUUGAAGCAGUUUCAUUUUCUUUAAAGAAAUGCUUACUGGAGAAGGUGGUUUAUACGCCAUUGAAUCCAGUGUCCAUAGUAAAUGAACAUUCUGUGACAACAGGACUGUGGGACCAUUUCACAUCAAGGCCCAGCAAGUUUUAGCCGCUUCCAAGGGAAGAAGUGCUGCAGAAGGAGGAAAAGAGAACAGCCCAAAAGCUUAUUAAUUGUGUAGAAGUACUCUGCAAACAAGAGGUGAGUUCAUAACCGAAUAACAUUCCUCCAGUGAUCUAUGAGUUUGUAUCCUUCUUCCAACAAGGGAAUGUGCCUAAUUUUGGAAUUACUGGCAUCUGUACAUCAUUUCGGUGGUAAAUUACGGUUGGGAUAUGUUAACCCCAAAGUCAUCAUAAGGAGACUCAGAAACAGUUCAUGAUUUCCUGUGAUGAGAAACUUGUUUUCAUAUCCUGAAUGGAUUUUCAUAUCUUUGGAAGAAAAUCUUUCUUGUGUACAUACACAUUCUUCAUGUGAUCAAAGUGAGACACGAGGAACAAAUAAUUUUAACUAGCUGAAUCAAGCCUUUCAGAAAAAGAAACAAGGUUACAGAAGGGAAGACAAAGGGACCCUGAGAAGUUCUGUACUUUCUAUCCAAGUGCUGACAUCAGCUGUGUUAGAUCUCCAUCAAGCACUCACUGAGGUCCUGUUCCCUUCAGCUGCCUUCUGGACAUCACUGCCUCUCUGGUGGAACAGCAGAACAGAUGUUAACUACAGCAGUUGCUCUCAGUAAAUGGCUCACUUUCUGUAGUGGCUCAUCUACCUUCUGGCUGAGCAGAAGAACAAUCUGAUAUCAAUUGUAAUGCCAUCCUCAAAGCCAUCCUUCAAAUGUGUGGAGUGGGAGAAGUGAAGGGUAUGCAACAGACAGGCUCUCAUUUCUCAGCUGCUUUUUGUCUUCACUCACUGCUCCUUCCUCGUCAGUCAGCCACUUGCUGCCCUCAUCUCACACAGAAACCCCAGGAAAACCUUCCCAUGCAUUCCCUAGCAGGGGAUGCUCUCGUAGUCCAAACAUGAAUGUUGCCAGAGCCACAACCUGUUCCUUGUUCAGCUCAGCACAGCACAUCUAAGCAGAUGGUGAGUAAUGGCAUGCAAUGCCUACUUAUCUUCCUGUGCUUUCCUCCAUAUGGUUCCUGUAUUAGGCCUGGAAACAAACUGAAGGAGGUAGUAUGAAUAGGAAAUGAAUUCCAUUAAGCUCCACAAAGUUGCUGUUAAAAAUUGCUGUGUCCUUGUACUGAUACAAGAGUGGCUGAGUCAUUUCAGACCUGAGAUGGGAAUAUGCAGCUCCCCUGAUGUUCGCAGGGUUACAACUACCUGUAUCACAUAAAAAUGUUACGAUACGGUGCAUUAGCUUGCAAGCCACUUCAGCACACUCUCCAGUUUCUCAUUUUCUCUUUAAAAUCAUCUCAAAGCAAGUGUGAGAUCUUGCUGCAUUCAUAUAUAUCUAAAUGUUCUGAUAUGAUGCAGGACUACACAGUCCUAGAAAUGGAUAAUGUUGCUUGCUCCUUUUGGUGGUGUGGUAGAUAAUAUUUAAACAUAUAAAACAGCCUGAUAUUAAAAAGGAUGUGCUUAGAUAAUCUUAGAUUUAGGCUUACAUUAUUUGGGGUUAAAAGGGGCUGCUUAAAAAUGUCAAAAUUUCAGGAUUUAGAAUAGCAUUCUCAAAAGAACCCUAUAAGGGUUUAUGAGUGUAGCUGUCACUACAAGCAUACUACUGUAGCAUUCAGUGAAACAACUUCCUAAAUACCUGAAGGCCAGAAUUACUUUACAGCUAUUUUUGGUGUAUUAAUUUCUCUGUCACUUGGUGCUAAAUCCCCAGGAGACAGCUGCAACAUGAGAGUUGCACAAAACCCAAGAAGAAAUGAGCAAGAACGUACCAUCCAGCAGCAGCCCUGCAAAUAGGGAAAAGGGAGAAGCAAGUCUUGGGUUCUUGUCCCAUCUUCAGGGAUGGUUCAUGGAUUUUACAUUGAAAAAUGAUAGAAUAAAUGAUAAAAAAGAAGAAGAAGAAGAAGAAGAAGAAGAUGACAGAAGAAUCAAAUCUGGGAGUGGAAACAAGAUGUUCUCCUUCCAGGAAGAAGGAAGAAAGGAAGAGAGGGCCUGGGUUUAUUUUGCUUUCCUAACCCCAGAUGUCUUGUCCACUGUAACCACCAGCCUGUAGGAGAACCUACGAAGCAGCCCAAACCUGAAAUGGGGCCAACUUACAAGAAGUAAAUAAGGAUUCUUCAGUUCCAAAAGACAGCUCACCUAUGCAACACUGGCAUACUACAGUGGCUGCUCCAAAAGUAAUGCUUCCCAUUUUAUUUUGUUGGCAAACUAUGACAGAGACAGACAUUGAUACUAUGGCAGUACAGGUUGAACCUUUCCCCCGAUAUUCCAUUACAUUUUGUUGUUGUGCAACAGAUGGAAGCAGAGGGGCAGUCUGACAAAAUGGUGUCUUACAUGGAAGUAUGUGUGAAGCAAAGGUGUGUCACUGAAUUCCUCCAUGUGGAAAAAGCAUACUGACAUUCAUUAACGCUUGCUGAAUGUUUCUGGAGACCAAACAGUGGAUGUGAGCACAGUGAGGAGGUGGGUAGUGUGUUUUAACAGUGGUGUCAGCAACAUGGAAGACAAGUCAUGUUCCGAUGGCCACGCCCAGCUGUCACACCAUGAAAUGAAGAGUGGUUUUAUCAGCUCAUCCACACAGGAAUCAGCUAAUGGUGGUGAUUAUGCAGAAAAAUAGUGUUUUGUAGAGAAGAGUUUGCUUUAUCAAACACUAUUACCGUGCUCUUUGUAUCUGUUGCAGUUUCUAUAGAAAUAAAUAGGAGGCAUUACCUCAGAGCAGCCGAUGUACAUACCACUGAAAAAUUUCAUUGCCUCAAACUUUGAUGUAUUGCUAUAAGUUGUUUUCCAAAUCAAGAGAAAACAAAACAAGAAUCUCUCCUCAAUGACUCCACACUGCCCUGCACCACAUACAGUUCCUGAGCAGCAGACGGUUCCUAGGGGACCUUGGUUGCACGAUAAGUGCUGGUGCUAUGAAUUGUUGCAAUGGGUUACAGAGUAAUCUCAACUUUUGUUUGCAGGAGGGAGUCUGGUAGCCCAAGCUUUUGAGGGUGAUAUUAUUUCCUUGAUUCUAUGAUUCGACUGCAUGGCUAAUCCAGUCUGACCUUGUAAUGGACAGGUGGGAGUCCUAAUGAGCCAUCAUCAGCUCCUCCUGAGAGCUUCCACUUCCCUCAGUCUAUCUGCAUUAGUAGCAUUUGUGUGUGUUGUGGCCUCCAGCCAUAUGAAGAUUUCAGUGAGCAGCUCACAGAGGCAAAGAAGGUAGCAUCCACAAAAAGUGGAGAUACUCAGGAGUAAGUAUAGACACCUGGCUCCCAGUCCUUGCUUCACUGGUUGGUUUAUGUAUUUAAAAUACAUUUUUAUCUUAUAUUUAACAUCUACGUUAGAAAUCUUACAUAAACCAGUCACUGGAGCAGGGGCUGAGAUUCAGGUGUCUCUGGCCCUCAGUGAAUGUUCCUGCUAUGCAGCAUACAGCUCCUUAGGUGAUACAGGCAGAGGAACAUGCUUGUGGAACCUGUCAGGCAUAAAUUAGACAUGGGGAAUUCAGCUCUGCUGUCACUGAAAGACUCCUAGACAUACCGAGAAACAUCAGGCACUUGGUUUAAUGCUGAAAGCAGAGGACUUAUUGGUAGCUGAAAAAUAUUUGGAUGCAGGCACCUUAAGAUCAAUCAUGUAUUUUUAAAAUCUUACUAAAUACUUAUUUGCAUCUUUAGGUACCUAAGUAACUGCAACAGUUUGAUUUCAGGUCAAUUUAAAUACUUGUGCUUCUUGCAUGUUAUUUUAAGACUUUUCCCUUAAUAAUUUUUUUUCCACUCUAAAAGUGGUUUCCUAAUGCGACUCAGAGGGAGACUGUCAUUAGUAAGUCAUUAAUGAGCCUGUAACUUUGAUUGUGUUCAUUACAUGUCAAGUAAGAAUUAUUUCAAUGAAGUAAAUUACUUUUUUUUUUGCCUAAUCAGUAGGACAAGAAUUCAUGCUCAGCAUCCCUUUACUCUGAGAGAUUUGAUCCUUUUGUUUGAAAUAUGUUAGCUACAACUGUUACUUUCAACCUAUAUUUCUGGUUCUCAGCUAUUAAAACAGAAAUGUAUUUUGUUUGUCUGACCAGGAAAAGGCACUUUGAAAAUAUCUGUCCUAUUGCCUAGGCUGCCUCACUAAGGGGUUGUGCUCACACUUAUAAAUUACAAAAACAGAAGAAAAAAAGAAGAAAACAUAAAACUCUACUGUACAUAAGCAAUUAUUUAAAAAUAAUCAUUUUCUGCUAGCAUUUUUUGGCAGCAUGCGCUCUGAGACACGCGAUAAUAUGGAACUAGCCCAAAGACACUGCUGCAUGUUAGUAAAUAUCACGUGAGUUUUCAGGGUCAUCACCCAGGACUGUCACAAAACAGGUUAUGUCAGAGGCAAGCUGAGCAUCAGCUUUGAAAUUCCUGUUUGAUUAACUGGUGACCUUCUUGAGCCUUCUGCAGAAUAUAUUUAAGCAUUAGAAAGAAAAUAGAUGAUGAGAAAGUCCAUGAAAAUACUCUGUCUUUAUAGGUGCAGUAGCUGGAUCAUACAGUGAAAUGAAAACCUAUGGGAAGUUGGGCCCCAUCCUGCAAAUAUUCAUAUAUUAACUGAAUUUUGUUUCUUCCAACCCCCAGGGGACAGGACAGCACUCCAGCUCCUUCACACUGAGGCAGAGCUUUUCUGAAGGACUCAAGUCUGCAUUUGCACGCCUCAUUUUCUCAUAGUUCAACUUUGCUCCAUGACUUGUUUGUACAACAAAGACCUUCCAGUGAUGGUACCCCUGAAGCUUCAUGGUUUCAUCAUCUUUAAAGUCUAGAGGAAACCUCUACCAUUACUAAGAGAGAUGGCUCUCUGGGUAGAAAAUGGAAGGGUUUUGCUUGGUUUGUACCAUAACAUAAUAUUCAGCAAGUGGCAGUUUCUCUGGUGGAUGGUGAUACUGCUCCAGCACACUUAUACAAUGGGAUAUCACUAAUGUCUCCAUUUGGUAGAUUAAAUGCUUCGAUUCUUAACUUUGUGAUUUCUUCUGUGAGGUUGCUGACUUUUUAGUUUAUUUUAUACCAGAAUGGAUGCUUCCAAGAAAACCUUCCUGAAUAUAUUUUAUUUAUGGUAGCAAAUUCUAUCAAUGGUACCUCUUCAUUAUCUGGGAAAUACUUGCCCAAAAGUAAGGUGU
ensembl:lncRNA